rnacentral:lncRNA from 1 species
GGGAAACCUGACCUGGACGGAGGGCGGUACAGGAGGCAUCAGACUCCACUAGGCCUCCAGUCUGUUAUACAUUCCUGGCCUGGAGCCCAGCAACAACGGGAGGUGGACCUGCCUGCUUGGCCUAGUUAAUUCGCCUAGAAGUACGAUUCUCCUCAUCUUAGUGAGAGAUAAUCCGUGUGGUGUCUGGACGCCAUGGGCCUGCCGUGUAGUGUCUGGUGCCAUUUUCUUGUCUAAGGCCUGCUUACUGUUGCUCUAUACCAUGACCUCUAUCUGGACUGGCCCAACUACUGCAGAUUCCAUAUCCAGUUGAUGCACUGAGCAGGAUGGCAGUGGUGUGGUCCGUAGUGCCAGUUAAUACAAAGGGGUCUGCAAACGCGUGAUUAAGGUCUCCAAGGACUAGGAGACUGCCCUAAACUGGACUGCAGGGUGAUUGUUUCUGAAGGUGGGAAAGCAUUUUUGGUUGGUGCUAUUUUUCGUUAUCACAAUAUUCGUAUAACAUCUGUAGUUUAAAAAGCCAGUGGCUGGCCCAAAACUUAAUCUGAAGACCAGGUUAUCCUCAAGUUUACAGUGAUCAUCCCGUCUCUGUCUCCUGAGUGCUGGAAUUACAAGUGUGCAUCAUCACAUGUAGUGAGUUGUUUUUUUCAAGAUGUGGUCCUACUGUGUAAUACUGGCUGACCUAGAAGUCUGUAUAUAGGUCAAGCUGGCCUCAAACUCACAGAAAUCCACCUGUCUGUCUCAGAUCUUCUGUAAGAACAGCAAGUACUUUUAACCUCUCCAGCCUCUUGUAGUAUAUACAUAUAUAAUACAUAUGUACAUCAAUACAUG